GAAAAACAGAAAGAGAGAGAAUAUAUGUUUGUAUGAAGUGACUUAAUUAUAUCCUUAAUUAAAAACAUGAUAAAGAAUACUAAAUCUUGAUUACUGCUUGGAUAAACCAAAGGAGAUAUAUUCAUAGAUCGAUGCUUAAUCUUUCCUAUGCAUUGGGUUUUCUUUGGAAAAACAUGACAAUGGAGAAAGGCAACAGGAAGAGAGGAAAAGAGCUAGCCUUUGGUACAUUGUUAAAUGUUAACUCUGUGUGUGUGUGUGUGUGUGUGUGUGUGUGUGUGUGUGUGUGUGUGUGUGUUUACUGCCUGAUGCAGACCUGAGGGGUUUAAUUUCAUUCUAUGUGGUGUAGAGCCUUUUCAAUUCUGCACCAUGGAGGUGUGUUAACUACUCAGGAAUGAAUUCAGGUUAGUGGGGUACCUCAGGAAUAGAGCGUUUGUCACCAUGUAGAGACUCUGGGUUCAAUCCACUACACGCUAGGGGAUGGAGCACGUGAAUAGAAUUAAGGCAGUAAAACCUUGUAUGUGCGAGACCCACCACGGACUGAUUGUAUGACUUUUGGAAUUUAAAGUGUACUCUUAUUUUAAUAUGGCAGCAGACCAAGCCGUCUCUGUUAAAGUGAUUGUUCUCAGAUAUCGCCUGUUUAUUUUGUUUUGCAGUCCUUGGUGCCUUGUGGAUUGAAGUCAAAAGAGAGAAAACAAAACUGUACAAAGGCUGUCAGGCCUGACCCUUGGGGAAAGGCUUAAAGUUCUACUUAGCGUUCUGAUUUUGCUUUUCAAUUGUGUCUCUUCUUGUGUAAGGGCUGGAAAGGACCCUGGAGACCACAGAACACAGACCCAUGGUGGAGACAUUUCCAUUAAUCUUGUAAAGUGAUCAGUCACUGGAAGGAUUGAAUUGCAUUUCCUGCCCAAAGAUGUGGAGACAGAUGACCUUUGCAGCAGCCCUCAGACCCCCGGUUCACAGCUGGAGAGAGGAUGUGUCAGCAUUUGCCUUCCAGUCUCACCCAGCCCUUUGUUCAGAGCUCGAACCCUUUGUGCUCAGGCUGCAGCAGGGGGAUUUUGUAAUUGUUGAUGCAGAUUUUUUUUUUUCCCUAACCUCCCACUUCUUAACAGCUUCUGAGAAACAAACUCUUAUUUGGCAGAAGAUGGUAUCUAA
rnacentral:sRNA from 1 species